AAACCCCCUACAUUGCGAUUGCCAUUUAGUCACCUUUAUCCGCUUGAUGAAAACAAGGCGAUUGCAGUUAAAGCCCUUCUCGUGGAGUACGGAACCUUCCUGUCAAAACCCUCUUAAUUUAAAAGAAACGUUGCUGAAGGACAUUUCACUUCAAGAAGUAGUCUGUGAUUCAGGGAAUGCGACAACUCAAACCUACACAGUAGAUGUGACGCCUCUAAACUCAAUGUCCAAAGCCGGAGAUAACUAUACAUCUCUCUGUAACAUUUCGGGACAUGGGACACUAGACAUCAUCACAAAUUUAAAGGUGAAGUGGUACCACAAUUCAAAGCUGUUGACCAGUCAGUGUACCUUGGAGGAUGUGUCAAUGGCGGAGAAGUAUUCGUGUGAGGUACUCCCCCCUCAACAGAACAACAUCAGCUUAGAGAUGACAGUAAUGGAUAUACAAAAAGAUGAUGUUGGGAUUUUAACCUGUGAAUUGACUCAGCAGGUGAAGAAGAACGGGAUAUGGAAAGACGAAUUGUUAGAGUAUGAGUCCGUGGUAAUCCAAAUCAGAGGUAUAUGUAGAGGAAGACGAUCAUGCGUAAAAGUUACUGUAUAUAUAAAUUUUGCCCUGGCUUCAAUGAAUGUAAGGUGAAUAUAACGAAUAGUGAUCAAUCUCACAACCCCUUUUGAUGAAUGCAAAAUAAAAAGUUGAAGAAACGCGGACCAUGGGCAUACCAGAAGUGAGAUCGGGUGUGUUUGAGGCGCAGUCAUUCUCUGUUGUUCGGCCACACCCACCGUGGGCCCUAUAUCUUAAUCAAGUAAACAUACUUCCGUAGGCAAAAUCAAUUUGCCAAGAAUGGCCUAAAAAUUGGUAUGAAACACUUUACACAGCAUUUCAUGCAAUGCUAGGUUGGUGAAAUAUCAAUGGGAGUUAAAAAUUUAGAAUUAAUAAGAGGGGAUGCUUGCUCUUCCUAUGCACCUCAUCCAACUGCUGGUGUGCCCAGGUGUUCAUAUUUGACCUCUUCUUAAUUUUAUUUUUGAGAUUGAUUAUUCUUCGUUGUCUUCAAUUGACAGCAAUACAAACGAAGCAAGUCAACACUUGAUCUGGCAAAUAUUUAUCAUGUAUCUAGAGUUUUUUUGUCAUUGUAUAAGACACUAGAGCUGGUUUAUCAAAUAACAAUUUGCCGUAUACGUCUAAACACGUGAUGCAUACAUUCAUCAGCAACCAAUGACACAAUAUCUCUUGACACGGUGACAUUGGAAGCCUCGAAUUGAAAUACCUUUUGCAAGAAGAAUUCCAAUCCAACAGGUAAACCCUAGGUAUAGAGAUUGGAUUUGUGUCGAAUUUCUAAAUUCUCCAUGCCAUAUGAAGUAAGUUUGUUACUUUAUUUAAUUUGUUGGUUAUAAAUAUUAUGAACUGCCCGACAAAUGCGGACUUUUCUAUUGUUAAACAUUGUUUCACUGAUACCACAAGUUGGAAUCUAAGUUGAAACGAUUUUGAAUUUGAUUUUGCACGUGGCGUAGAUAAUUCGAAAUUGCAGAGCAGAGGACACAACUUUGACAAAAGUUUAUAUAAUGAUACUAAUUUUGUUUGUUGUGCCGCUUUUUAAGGUGUUAUCGAUAGAGUAAUCAAAUAACGUGAAAACAAUCAUAUUUUACGUCCACGAAGUAGUUAAUCAGUCUCAGCUGGUAAUUCGAGUAAGCUGAUCUUUGCUUAACGCUGAUGAAUUGCAAAGUUGUGUUUUGAGAAGGGAAACAAAUAAUUUACAUUUGGGUAUACCAUUUGCAAUACUGAUUGUUUAAUAGGCAAGAUGUUCCCAUGUCAUGAGAAAAAUACGAUAUCCUUGUAUAUUUCAAACAGAUUGCCGUAAUGUAACAUACUCAAUCGAAUAACAAGGCCAAUGGGCGUAUUUUUAACUCGUGUAUUUAAAGAUAUCAAAAUAUCGCAUUGUAUCAAAAUGAAAAGGGAUAACUGAGAACCACUCGUUACAAACCAUGUUCAAAUAAAUCCAUGGAAGAUCCAUCGAUGGACUGUUACCUACACAACGUGAGAGACAUGUAUCCCUGUCUUCAACAUUGGUAGACAUUAAUAUCGAUAUAUUCAACACUGGUAAGUAUUUAUAUUCCAACAGUCAACGCUGGUGAGUACAGAUGUCUGUUAUCCCAUAAGAUUGGUUACUAUAGACUAAUAUAGAAUAAAACAACCAGAAAGUGCAUCGCUGUAUGUUUACCCAGAAUGUACAAGGUGCACGUUUAAUUGGUAUUGACAUGUUUUACGUUUUGUUAGUGUAUACAAGGUAUAGAUUUACUCGGUAAAUAGAAUGCAUAUAUUUCCUUUGUAUUUACAAGUUAUACGUUUACUUGGUAUUUACAAGUCAUACGUUUGUUCGAUAUACGCGUAUUUCUUGCUCCCGGAGCGAACGGGGGAUCGAAAUAUUAAUAACAUCAUAUUCGUGUUUACUGAGCUGAUUAUAAUGACAAUAAUCACAAACAUGGAACAUGGUAAGUAUCCAAUGUUUCAUUCAUUAUUUCUAUCAUUGUAUUUGAACAUUUCAGGAGAUCAGAAAUACGGCUGUCUCUUUGUCGGUUGGAGAAGGACAUGAUCUGCGUGUGGACGGGUUUUUGGAGAUCACCGUCAGAUGCUGACAAGCUGGUGUUGCCUGGAUUUCGGCGGUCUCCUUCGAAAUUGUCAUUUCGCAAGUUCUAUUGCCGUUAUGAUUACCCCGCUUACCUGAUCAAAACAGAGGGUUCACGAACGAAUUCACAGAUCAACAACGAAUAUCGUAUCCUCCUAGACAACUGAUCCCACGUCCAUUGAUUUAAAUGGUAUACUCAUCAUGAUCUAUCAUUGCCGCCAUGGAUGCAACAACAUUUCGAUUCGACCCAUUAUGAACCACGGACGCUGAAAACACUGCAUCUCUACAUCGUAAUUCCGACAUGUCCAAUGUUGAACAGGACUUGGGUUGUUUUCAACACACUUAUCGCAUAUGAUUUCAUGAUAUAUGGGGAUUAUAUCACUAGUAAGAGAAGGAACAAUAUCGCCACUUGAUGUUUCACGUUCUGCCCAAUGGACGUACCGCUACUGACACCCCAGUUCACUCGGUUACACUGCUUCGGUUGGAGGUAGAGGGAGGGACCAACCUGCAAUGGACUGGUGUCUCACUCUGCGGGAAUCUAUUACUCCCAUUCAUUAAACACCUUAUCAUUCAGAGAAACAACCAUGUACGAUUUCCAGACCUCGUAGCUACGUAAGGCAUAGUAUAUAUUUAGUUGCAUUGUAUUUUUUUCGUUCGUAUUGCUUGUUGAUACUUACUACUAGACCAAUCCUGCCGGGUGACAAAAAAGAGUAGGGUCACUUCCUAACAAGACAAUAAAGGCUUUGAAUGUUGAAACAUCUCUUAAUGGAAUCCAAUUUGUAGUUGAUUUUAGUGGAGUUUUUUUGUAUUUGUUUCUUAUGUAUGUAUGUUUUUUGUUUGUUUGUUUGUGUUUUGUUUGUUUGUUUGUUUUUUUCUUUUUUUCUCUCCCAAUAUUAUUAUUUAGUUGAAUAAUGAGUAGUUCGAUCUUUACGCCAGAAAUUGUUUCCUCUUACGUGUCAUAGAUGCAUGAUAACAUCAUCUGAAUAAAUACAAUUUAUGUCGAUACUUACCCGUGGGGAUUGCAAAUAUUUGUCUCGGUGAAUUAUCUACAUGUAUAUGAUUGAGAAAAGUGUUUCACAGUGUUUUGGGACCUGGGAAUUCGUUUAGUUUGGUCGGUUGUUUGACCUUUGAAAAAAAAUAUACUUCCGUUAGCAGUUAACAAAAUUUAAUUACUUUGCAAUUACAGGAUUAUUGAUAUUAAAAGAUCUUGGAUUUUAUUGUAGGCUCAUUUUUAUUUCAUUAGAAUUUCUCAUUUCUUUAUUGAAAUCCUCAACUAAUAUAUAGGUUAAUAUUUGUAUUACUAUAAUUCUAUACAUAGUCUACAUCCCCUAGGUAACAUCUUUCAUGCCACCCAGAAGGAUUUAUGCUACCACAGUGCUGUCCAUGAAACUGUCUCAAACAAAAGCAAGACAUUGAUAGUCGUGGAUAGUGCUUCAUCCCUGACAACAACUUCCUAUUCAAUGACAACAGGGUCAGCCGUCAAUCUUAUUCUUCCAGCCGGCAACUGCUAUACUGAAUUCAUAUCACUUUAAAUUCUCAGUUGGAGGGAUUUCCCAAGUCUGUAGCAUCAGAGCCACCAGUUUCCAUUAAUCAACUACUGUACCAUCACCUGAACAGAUGCUAGUUACACUCUGCUAGAAUCAUUUUAUUUUAUAACUAUGGCGGUUUAACCUUAGUGUUGCUAGAUAUAUCAUUUCACAUGUAAUGUAUUAUCUUACUAGCAUGAUAUGUUUCAUGGUGGAACACGCAGACUGUCCACAGCAUUUAUUUAUAUUUCAUAUAGUGUAACCACGCGUACUUCCAAUGCUUACCUUCUCAUAGAAUAAUUUUAUAAACCAAUUCUAAAGUUUUAUUUGUGUAUGUGGACAUUCAUAUAUAUCUGUAUAUAAAACAUUAAAACUUCGUUACAUGUGCGUCGUAUUGCUACGUAUGUAAACUUAGAUGUACAUUUGUACAUUUAAUUAUAUUUACAUCAUUAAGUCCACU